ACCUAUACAACUAAACACAACAUUACCAACCUGCUACAACAUUACCAACCUGCUACAAGUAAACACAACAUUACCAACCUGCACAACUCAACACAACAUUACCAACCUGCACAACUCAACACAACAUUAUCAACCUGCUACAACAUUAUCAACCUAUACAACUAAACACAACAUUAUCAACCUGCUACAACAUUAUCAACCUAUACAACUAAACACAACAUUACCAACCUGCUACAACUCAACACAACAUUAUCAACCUAUACAACUAAACACAACAUUAUCAACCUGCUACAACAUUAUCAACCUAUACAACUAAACACAACAUUAUCAACCUGCUACAACAUUAUCAACCUAUACAACUAAACACAACAUUACCAACCUGCUACAACUCAACACAACAUUACCAACCUGCUACAACUAAAUACAACAUUAUCAACCUGCUACAACAUUAUCAACCUGUACAACUAAACACAACAUUAUCGACCUGCUACAACUAAACACAACAUUAUCGACCUGCUACAACUAAACACAACAUUACAACCUGCUACAACUAAACACAACAUUAUCGACCUGCUACAACUAAACACAACAUUAUCGACCUGCUACACAGAGAGGAACCAAGCAUAAAUGUAUUUUUCCAUUGAUUGAAAAUAGCUGUCACUGCAGGGGGAUGUUUGUAGCCAUCUUUUCAUUUUAUUUUCUCCUUCAUGUGGGAACAUCUAUAAUAUUAGACCCAUCUCUUUAUUCUCUUGAAUGACUUGUACAGACCAGGGUCUGUACCGACCCCGAGCUGGACUGAGGAGGUUUUAUACAGACCAGGGUCUGUACCGACCCCGAGCUGGACUGAGGAGGUUUUAUACAGACCAGGGUCUGUACCGACCCAGAGCUGGACUGAGGAGGUUUUAUACAGACCAGGGUCUGUACCGACCCAGAGCUGGACUGAGGAGGUUUUAUACAGACCAGGGUCUGUGAUCAACCAAGAUGGACUGAGGAGGUUUUAUACAGACCAGGAUCUGUACCGACCCAGAACUGAACUGAGGAGGUUUUAUACAGACCAGGGUCUGUACCGACCCAGAGCUGGACUGAGGAGGUUUUAUACAGACCAGGGUCUGUACCGACCCAGAGCUGGACUGAGGAGGUUUUAUACAGACCAGGGUCUGUGAUCAACCAAGAUGGACUGAGGAGGUUUUAUACAGAUCAGGGUCUGGACUGAGGAGGUUUUAUACAGACCAGGGUCUGUACCGACCCAGAACUGGACUGAGGAGGUUUUAUACAGACCAGGGUCUGUACCGACCCAGAACUGGACUGAGGAGGUUUUAUACAGACCAGGGUCUGUACCGACCCCGAGCUGCACUGAGGAGGUUUUAUACAGACCAGGGUCUGUACCGACCCCGAGCUGGACUGAGGAGGUUUUAUACAGACCAGGGUCUGUAUCGACCCCGAGCUGGACUGAGGAGGUUUUAUACAGACCAGGGUCUGUACCGAGCUGGACUGAGGAGGUUUUAUACAGACCAGGGUCUGUAUCGACCCAGAGCUGGACUGAGGGGUUUUAUACAGACCAGGGUCUGUACCGAGCUGGACUGAGGAGGUUUUAUACAGACCAGGAUCUGUACCGACCCAGAACUGGACUGAGGAGGUUUUAUACAGACCAGGGUCUGUAUCGACCCAGAGCUGGACUGAGGAGGUUUUAUACAGACCAGGGUCUGUACCGACCCAGAACUGGACUGAGGAGGUUUUAUACAGACCAGGGUCUGUACCGACCCAGAGCUGGACUGAGGAGGUUUUAUACAGACAGGGUCUGUGAUCAACCAAGAUGGACUGAGGAGGUUUUAUACAGACCAGGAUCUGUACCGAGCUGGACUGAGGAGGUUUUAUACAGACCAGGGUCUGUAUCGACCCAGAGCUGGACUGAGGGGUUUUAUACAGACCAGGGUCUGUACCGACCCAGAGCUGGACUGAGGAGGUUUUAUACAGACCAGGGUCUGUAUCGACCCCGAGCUGGACUGAGGAGGAUUUAUACAGACCAGGGUCUGUACCGAGCUGGACUGAGGGGUUUUAUACAGACCAGGGUCUGUACCGAGCUGGACUGAGGAGGUUUUAUACAGAACAGGGUCUGUACCGACCCAGAGCUGGACUGAGGAGGUUUUAUACAGACCAGGGUCUGUACCGAGCUGGACUGAGGAGGUUUUAUACAGACCAGGGUCUGUACCGACCCAGAGCUGGACUGAGGAGGUUUUAUACAGACCAGGGUCUGUAUCGACCCCGAGCUGGACUGAGGAGGUUUUAUACAGACCAGGGUCUGUACCGAGCUGGACUGAGGGGUUUUAUACAGACCAGGGUCUGUACCGACCCAGAGCUGGACUGAGGAGGUUCUAUACCUGGUCUGUGUUCAACCAAGAUGGAAGAGGAACGACUCAAACAUCCGAAUCUUAGUGCCAAGGUUACCGUGGAAACAGAGGAGGGGAACUGAUUUGUCU
rnacentral:lncRNA from 1 species